AAUGAACGUUGGCGGCGUGGAUUAGGCAUGCAAGUCGCGCGAUUUCCUUCGGGGAAGAGCGGCGGAAGGGAGAGUAACGCGUAGAUACCUACCCUCGGGACUGGAAUAGCGACGGGAAACUGUCGGUAAUGCCAGAUAACGUCCCUGGACCAAAGGUGUGAAUCCGCCUGAGGAGGGGUCUGCGUCCUAUUAGCUAGUUGGCGGGGUAACGGCCCACCAAGGCGAAGAUGGGUACCGGGCGUGAGAGCGUGACCCGGCUCACUGGGACUGGGCCACUGCCCAGACACCUACGGGUGGCUGCAGUCGAGAAUCUUCGGCAAUGAGCGCAAGCUUGACCGAGCGACGCCGCGUGCGGGAUGAAGGCUUUCGGGUUGUAAACCGCUGUCAGUGGGGAGGAAAUUCUUGGGGGUACUCCCCCUUGAUUGACCGAUCCGCAGAGGAAGGACGGGCUAAGUUCGUGCCAGCCGCCGCAGUAACAC
rnacentral:rRNA from 1 species